rnacentral:rRNA from 1 species
GACGAACGCUGGCGGCGUGCCUAAUACAUGCAAGUUGAGCGAUGAAGAUUGGUGCUUGCACCAAUUUGAAGAGCAGCGAACGGGUGAGUAACGCGUGGGGAAUCUGCCUUUGAGCGGGGGACAACAUUUGGAAACGAAUGCUAAUACCGCAUAAUAACUUUAAACAUAAGUUUUAAGUUUGAAAGAUGCAAUUGCAUCACUCAAAGAUGAUCCCGCGUUGUAUUAGCUAGUUGGUGAGGUAAAGGCUCACCAAGGCGAUGAUACAUAGCCGACCUGAGAGGGUGAUCGGCCACAUUGGGACUGAGACACGGCCCAAACUCCUACGGGAGGCAGCAGUAGGGAAUCUUCGGCAAUGGACGAAAGUCUGACCGAGCAACGCCGCGUGAGUGAAGAAGGUUUUCGGAUCGUAAAACUCUGUUGGUAGAGAAGAACGUUGGUGAGAGUGGAAAGCUCAUCAAGUGACGGUAACUACCCAGGAAGGGACGGCUAACUACGUG